AUUUCAAAAUCAGAUUUUGACAAGGUGCUUGCAAGGCAGAGGCCUACAGUGAGUAAAUCUGACCUUGAUGUCCAUGAGAGAUUCACGAAAGAGUUUGGAGAGGAAGGUUGAAUAAUUUGAUAAAAUGUUAUCACGUUGAUCCACACACUAAUUGUGAGAACAUUGGUAUGAUUUGUAUCUAUUUAUGUAUCAGUGCUGGAUCCAGUGAAUUGUAUCCUUUAUAUUAAGCUUCUUCACAUGGGGAAGGUGACUUGACUUCCCUGUUUCUGUAUUCCGAAGGAAAUACUGUGGUUUGAUACUUUUGGAAUUACUUGUCCCAAAUUGUGUAAAGAACAGUUUCAGAAUUAUGACCCUAGAAUGUGAACACGAGGCAUAUGUGAUGCUGAUUGCCUUUGA